UCCGGGACAACUGGCUUGUGGCUGCUAAGAGAUCAAAUCAACGCAGCUUUUUGAUUCUUCGAUGUCGGCUCUUCCUAUCCUAGUGAUGUACAAGUUGCUAAGGGUCGGAUUGUUCACCCGUAUUAGGGAUCGUGAGCUGGGUUUAGACCGUCGUGAGCCAGGUUUGUUUUAUCUACUGGAUAUAGCAUCAUGAUAGUAGAUUGAUUUAGUACGAGAGGAACUGUUGAUUAUGGCCUCUGGUUAGCGAUUAUCGGAAACGGUAUGUCGCGCAGCUACGCCGUCUGGGAUAAUGGCUGAAAGCCUCUUAAGCCAGAAGCCCAUCUAGAAAGUGAUGCACGUGAUGUUGGACCGAUACGAAUAAUCAUACUCAAAAGGUCCGCUUCAUAGGUAACCCAAUGUAGAAGACAUUGUGUGAACGAAGGUACUGUAAGCAGUGGAGUGGCAUUACGUCCACGACCUGUUGAGGUUCAGCUUCGCUUCUAGGUUUCC
rnacentral:ncRNA from 1 species